GAGCUGCUGGAGUACGAGGGAGCCAAGAAGGGCUCCAAGGACCUCUGCCUCUUCUCUGAGCUCGUUCUUAGGCCCCUCUGCCGUCUGCACGCUCCUUUCCAGCCACCCGGCCUCCCGAUGCCGGCCUAGCACGUUCCUCGCGCCAGGCUUUUGCAUCUGCCCUUCCCACUGUCUUUCGUGUGCAAACGCCACAGGUCCUGCGCACCGCACCCCUCAUGGAAUAGCGUCGCCUCCUCUCUACCUUCACACACGCCCCGAAACUUGCCUCUCAUCCUGUGUCUCUAUAGAUUUUUGCACCAUCUGACCGACGAACCCCUACCCUUCCCUAGACCAUGUCACGAUUCCGUCGCAUCCUCUGCCAUUGUCCCUCGGAAUAUU
rnacentral:lncRNA from 1 species